CUAAGAAUAUUCCGCAAUGGACGAAAGUCUGACGGAGCGACGCCGCGUGGAUGAAGAAGGCUGAAAAGUUGUAAAAUCCUUUUGUUGAUGAAGAAUAAGGGGAAGAGGGAAUGCUUCUCUGAUGACGGUAAUCAGCGAAUAAGCCCCGGCUAAUUACGUGCCAGCAGCCGCGGUAACACGUAAGGGGCGAGCGUUGUUCGGAAUUAUUGGGCGUAAAGGGCAUGUAGGCGGUUAUGUAAGCCUGAUGUGAAAUCCUGGGGCUUAACCCUAGAAUAGCAUUGGGUACUGUGUAACUUGAAUUACGGAAGGGAAACUGGAAUUCCAAGUGUAGGGGUGGAAUCUGUAGAUAUUUGGAAGAACACCGGUGGCGAAGGCGGGUUUCUGGCCGAUAAUUGACGCUGAGAUGCGAAAGUGUGGGGAUCGAACA
rnacentral:rRNA from 1 species